CGUAAAUUAAAUAAUAUCAGUUUGUCAAAUUGAAGUGGCCGAUCAGGCAUCCCUUUAUGC
rnacentral:tRNA from 1 species